GACGAACGCUGGCGGCGUGCUUAACACAUGCAAGUCGAACGAUGACGACCGAGCUUGCUCGGUCUGAUUAGUGGCGAACGGGUGAGUAACACGUGAGCAACCUGCCCUUCACUCUGGGAUAACCUCGGGAAAUCGGGGCUAAUACCGGAUAUGAGCUCCUGUCGCAUGGCGGGUGUUGGAAAGUUUUUCGGUGACGGAUGGGCUCGCGGCCUAUCAGUUUGUUGGUGAGGUAGUGGCUGACCAAGGCGUUGACGGGUAGCCGGCCUGAGAGGGCGACCGGCCACACUGGGACUGAGACACGGCCCAGACUCCUACGGGAGGCAGCAGUGGGGAAUAUUGCGCAAUGGGCGAAAGCCUGAUGCAGCGACGCCGCGUGAGGGAUGACGGCCUUCGGGUUGUAAACCUCUUUCAGCAGGGAAGAAGCGAAAGUGACGGUACCUGCAGAAGAAGCGCCGGCUAACUACGUG
rnacentral:rRNA from 1 species